rnacentral:tRNA from 1 species
GUUAGAUUGACAGAGGAAAAUGUAUUAAAUUUAGAAUUUAAUUAGGUAAUAAAUUGUUACAUCUAAUA